rnacentral:lncRNA from 1 species
CGGCUGGCAGAGGUUAAGGCCUGGCUUCUGCUCCCGACGCGUCCCGGCGCGUCUGGGUUCAAAUCCGCCUGCCGACCUCUCGGGGUGUUUGAGAGGUGAUGGGAGGUGGCCCCCCAUCUUGUGGACGGUGUAGGACGUGAUAAAAUCAACUCGCGAGCCGACCAGGAACUAAGUUGACGCGCCGUUGAUCCGCUAGACUUGGUUGGAUGCUGGUGGUGAGUUGCCAAACUCAAAGAGUACACUCUGAAGUCGGAUGGGGUGAAUGGCUUAGGGUGCCCCUCUAGCAGGGGAGAGCAGGGAAUUGCCUCGGGAAGGAGGCCACUGGUGAAGCGUAACCACCCUGUAACAACAUCCAUGUGAACAAGUGCUAGUGGCUGGGCUGCCUUGUGCCCUGUUAACGGAAAAGGACCUCGUGUCUGUUUUGCAUAAACGCAAGUCUCACACACACACGCGCUGGCUCAUUGUAUGCUGUGUCGGUCAACAUCGAAUCCAGUUACCAUAUCAUGACGCAGCAGCGCCUCAAGGUUGCUGUAUCCUAAGUGGCCAUACCUUCGGUGCCAAAGUGCUGCACGUUCAGCUCCGAUACCCACGGCAGCACACACUGCAUCACCACCAGAAGGUAUCCUGUUGUCUUCACCUGUCCGCCGCCGAAGACCACACUGCCUCCACGAUCAUCAAUGAUGCGGACCGAUAUGAUUUUGGCGGUGGCCUCCUCAUCGACGUAGACCUUCUUGAAAGUGAUGGCCUGUUUAUCAUUGACGUUAGACCGAAUCAUAAGCGUGCCAACUUCAGUCGGCCGAAGAGACUGUCCCUUGAUGCCCAUGAUGUUGAAGCGCUCCCAUGGCUCCAAUAACCGCACGUUGGAAAGUUCUGAGCGGUCAUACGUUAUGUGGUGAGUGGCGGCUGAGUCCAGAAACCAUUCCGUCGGACGCUCGCUGUUGUAUGUAUUGGAGAAUUGGCGACGGUGACGGCUAACGCUGAUUGUUAUCUCGGAAGAAUUGCCGGCGGCGAAGAUAUUUAGCACGAUAAAACGUUACAAGUUAUGUAAAGAGUAUUAUAAGCGUUCGGCAGGACUUGAGGAGAUUCCUGGUAGGAAUACCGAUCGUUGUGAGAUAAACAAAUAAGCGCAGUCACCGCCCUAAAUACCAGCGCUAGCGGAAAACUCGUACAUUCCGCGAUCUAACUGCACGUACAUUCCGCGAUCUCACUGCGCCGUCCUGACGGUGCCCAAUGUCUAUCACUUAGCUACCGGAUAUGCAUCGGUAGCCCAUAAGGUUCUGGGGUAAGUCUUCCCCAUUAGUCAGGCGCAGACCCGGGGUCAAAUCCCCUGGUCGACAAACACACGAGUUGGGAGAGGACUGUUUCCUCAACACGCCCCCUCGGGCCGUAUCCCAACGAGUACCAAGUUCAUCUGCACACUUCACACAAGGCCCAUCGCAUCUCGGCAACGUUUGAACUUCACCUCGCCCAGAGCCUUCGUUAGCACAUCCGCAACCAUCCACUCCGUAGGGCAGUAUUCCAACUGCACCUCACCACUAUUCACCCUCUCACGCACUAUGUGAUGCUGCACGUCGAUGUGCUUCGACCGAGCAGACGUAAUCGGGUUAUUUCCCCAGCUAAGCGCCCCCUGGGAAUCUAUUUGGAUUCUGAUAGCGCUCUCAGGCAAACCCAAAUCAACCAUCAGCUUGCGAAGCCACAAAGCCUCGCGAACAGCUGCUGCUGUCGCUUGAUACUCGGCCUCCACCGACGAAGCCGCCACAGUACGUUGAAGUUGGCUGCUCCAGCUAAUCGCAGCCCCAUUAAGAGGAAAACGAGCCGAAGANNNNNNNNNNNNNNNNNNNNNNNNNNNNNNNNNNNNNNNNNNNNNNNNNNUUCGCCACCGGCAAUCCUUCCGAAAUAACAAUCAGCGUUAGCCGUCACCGUCGCCAAUUCUUCAAUAGUUCCCGCCAUUUCCACAUCAGGCUGAUUGAUUUCUUGCCCGUUCGCACUGCUGGAAGGUCCAGCCCCAGCCGGCGCCCCCUCGCCACCCAAAUGCGGCGAUCCCUGGCCGACGGUGCUACCUGGUGUCCCUUCGCCAGCCCUAGGCAGCGAUCCCUCACCAGAUAAACUAGUGUGAAACUCCUCCACCUCGUCGGCAUCGGACUCAUAAUCGGAGUCCCCGGCAUUACGCCGCCGGCCGACAUUAGACUCAUCGAAACGAACGUAAGAAACUACGGCAAUAAUGCCGUCCUCGUAUAGCACACGAUACUGUCCUCCGUUCCCGUAUCCGACAAGUAUUCCACGCCUGCUCACCCCUGCUCACCGGGUCGAACUUGUCGCGCUUGACGUCGGGUACGUGGACGUAGGCAACGCAUCCAAAGACUCGCAGGUGACUGACGUUCGGACGAACGUUAAAGAAAGCUUCGUACGGAGUGACGGUUGACCCAGCAGUUGGCGACACAUGCCUAAGAUAGUUGGCUGUCGCUAACGCCUCCGCCCAUAAUGACUUAGGUAGACCGGACUCGACAAGCAUAGCCCUAGUUUUGUCUAGGAGAGUGCGAUUUAAGCGUUCCGCUGCUCCGUUCUGCUCAGGGGUGUAGCCUACCGUAGUCCCGUGUACAAUACCCCUGGAAGCGAAAUAGGCCUUCGUGCGAGUAUUAACGAACUCCCCGCCACGAUCUGUACACACCUCCUUAACCUGCCUGCCAGUAGCGCGCUCCAGUUCCGCUAUCAUUACCACCAUCUUCUGAUAGACCUCCUCCUUGGUCGCUGUAAAACAACAGCUGAAAGACCGGUAUAAUCGUCAAGCAGAGUUAUCACGUAACACGAACCACUAGGCGAAGGUUCAGGCAUAGGUCCACACACAUCCAUUAACAGGCAGGCGGCUGGCAGAGGUUAAGGCCUGGCUUCUGCUCCCGACGCGUCCCGGCGCGUCUGGGUUCAAAUCCGCCUGCCGACCUCUCGGGGUGUUUGAGAGGUGAUGGGAGGUGGCCCCCCAUCUUGUGGACGGUGUAGGACGUGAUAAAAUCAACUCGCGAGCCGACCAGGAACUAAGUUGACGCGCCGUUGAUCCGCUAGACUUGGUUGGAUGCUGGUGGUGAGUUGCCAAACUCAAAGAGUACACUCUGAAGUCGGAUGGGGUGAAUGGCUUAGGGUGCCCCUCUAGCAGGGGAGAGCAGGGAAUUGCCUCGGGAAGGAGGCCACUGGUGAAGCGUAACCACCC